rnacentral:lncRNA from 1 species
UGUGAAUACGCAAUAUUUGACAAAAGUAAUUUAAUACCAGAGAUAUGAUAAGAAGCGGCUGAGUCCACAACCCAUUGUCCAAGAGUACUAGACUGGGAAACACAAGCAAAAGAAUUACCAGCAACAAAAGUAUCAGUCUGAGCAACAGAAGCUACUUGUGGAGAUAUCUGCUUACUUGCUCGAUACUGAAGGAACUCAUUAUACUCCCCUGCAGAUAAAGAAAAUCCCUGGUUACCUGUAGUCUCAGUUU